GUGUGCUCUUGUCAGUACAUUGCCAUGUUUUAUUCAUUUCAGGGAAACGCCAACCUCCAGUCCACCAACCAGGGACACACAAACCUUCACUCCAUCACGAAUGUGAAUAGUUUUACAACUUUAUUUCAUUAUCUUUAUAAAGUGCUUGAAACAGGGAAGAAUGGAACGAUACAAAAGAAUGAUGUACUUCUGUGGUGGUCAUAGAGUAGUCAUGGUGACAGCAUCAUGCACUCUGCUGCAUGUUGAUAUCUGUUCUGCUUUGUGACUCAUCAUGUCACUAAUGCACUAGAUAUUCUCUCAACUUGGGAAAGAUGUGUAUUUCUUUAAUCAAAGAGUGGUCAUGUUUAUUAUGUCAGUGUUUACAUCCCUGUCUGCAGGGCCGUUUCUAGCUUUUUGCCCUUCCUCUUGGCAGCUUUAAAGUUAUUGUCCUGCAAUUCAACAGUAUGUUGAGACCCCGACUGACUUCCUAAAACAUAUGAUAUUUACUGUAUAUAAAAACAUUGUUUUGGUUGGGGGCCCCCUAGUGGCUGUGGGCCCUAAGCAACCGCUCACGUCACUUAAGGCUAGAAGCGGCACUGACUGGCUGUUUCCAUAGAUAAUAUGGUUCUUAUCAAUACAUUGACCAUGUUCAUUUCUUUCAGGACCACACCAGUCCAUUCAAAAUGUGAGUAUUUGUACAACUUUAUUUGAUCGUCCUGGUAGAAUGCUUGAAACAGAUGAUUGUGAAUGUUAAAAUGGGUUACAAUAACCCCAAAAUUCAAACAUUACUCGAAAAUGUACUUUUUGUGUUUCAGUUUAGACUCCCUCAGCUCCUCAGCCAAGCGUAUGAUGCAACAAGCACAAGGUGUUGUAAAGAAAAUAUCUCCUGAGAGACCAGAUGACCUGCAAUGUAGAAGGAAACUUUUAGAGAGUGACGAGAACUGAGGGACUACCAUACUGCCUCACACACAUCUGUGUGGUUCGGAGACCGUUUCUAUCCAUGGGCAUUGUGGGUACUGAAUAGUGGACUGAAUGGCUGACACACACAGGCCUGCUGGUUAUUGUAUAUCUAAAUACAGUCUGUAUGUAAAUAUAUUUUGUAGUUGGUUAAUGAUGAAAGAUGAUAAAUCCACACUAGACUUGUUUGUGGUUUUAUUCUUCACUUAUUUAUAAAUCAAGUGUUUAUAUUAUAACCUACACAAUGUCAUAAUGUCGACUACUUUCAUGGUGUGUGUGUUUUUGUGUGUGGUUUUCUUUCUUCACUCUUUAUAAAUCAAAUGCUUUAUGAUACACAAUGUUGUAAUGUCCUUUGUUGUGGGUGUGUGUUUGUUUUCUACUUUUAUCAAUACAAUUUUAAACAACGUUGUAGUGUAUGUCGUGACAUCAGCUUGUUAUACAAUGUGUCAUAAAUCUGCUGCUGGGAAUGCUUAAAAAAUGAAUUGUCUUUGAUUCUUCUGCCACUCAAGAGACCAACCGAAGUUACAAACAAGUGCCACUAGGUGUCACACAAAUAUCAUUUUAGGGAGAGACGUCGUAGAGAAACGGGUUUGAUAUUGACUGAUGUCUCAUGAAGAGGCAAAACGCAUCACAUCCUGGUCUGUUCACUUUAAAGACUUUUGAAACAUGGAUGUGAUAGUCAGUAUACCAGAUUGUUUUACCCGAUACAGAGGACAUAAGUAAGUCUCACUAACUCCUUGGUCAUGUUAGCUGACGGAUAGUAUCUCUUAGAACAAAACGUAAAAGAUCUCCGAAGCCUGGGUUAACCUCUGACCUUAUUUUCAGCGUUUAUUCCAAAACCCUAUUCUUUCUCCAUUAUUUUUCCCCACUGGAAGGGCUGAACGAACUA
rnacentral:lncRNA from 13 species